rnacentral:rRNA from 1 species
GACGGAGGGUGCUAGCGUUGUUCGGAAUCACUGGGCUUAAAGGGCGCGUAGGCGGGCUGUCAAGUCUGGGGUGAAAUCCCGCGGCUCAACCGUGGAACUGCCUUAGAUACUGACGGCCUCGAGGGAGAUAGGGGCGAGCGGAACUGUGAGUGGAGCGGUGAAAUGCGUUGAUAUUCACAGGAACUCCGGUGGCGAAGGCGGCUCGCUGGAUCUCUUCUGACGCUGAGGCGCGAAAGCUAGGGGAGCAAACGGG